GGCCCGGUUGGACGGUCUGCCCUCGGGCAUGUACUGUCCUGACUGGGUCUUCCCUUCUGGUGAGCUGUCGUGUUGUUUACUCAGUGCGGCAGGGAACCAGGACUUUUACCUUGAGAAAAUUAGAGUGUUCAAAGCAGGCAAAGCCUGAAUACAUUAGCAUGGAAUAAUAAAAUAGGACGUGUGGUUCUAUUUUGUUGGUUUCUAGAAUCGCCGUA
rnacentral:rRNA from 1 species